AUCUAUAGUUGUCCCGUCUCUGCAUUGAACGUCAGCCCUUUUUCUGUGAUUCUUCCUUCCUUCCUUUCUGUCUAUCUUUCCUGGGUGGCUUCUUCUUCAACUCAAUCUUCUCUCUCAGCUAACGCGGUAACCAGAGAGGGCGAGAUCGCGAAAGGGCUCAAGCCAGGGCUGGCCACAAGGCUAAGCAGCCCAAAGACGAUGGCCUGACCCCCGAACAAAGACGAGAGAGGGACGCGAAAGCACUUCAGGAAAAGUUAGCUAGGAAAGCAGCUGGGAACAACGAUAACUCUGUUGGUAACAAAAUCGGUAUCAAGAAGAAAUAGCAGCAGAUUAGUGUUUAAAUGUAGGUGAUGAAUGUUGUAAUAGAUGAUGGAUCAGAUUUGGGUUCUGGGGGCUUUUUUAAAGUCGCAUGUUUCAUGUCAUUUUGAUGGUUGAAGAUUGUCCUCCAAUAGGAAUAGGGAUCAAAUCUGACACAGCUGAAUCCGUGCAUGUUUGAUGUCAUUUUGGUGUUUCAUAUUUACUUCAGAUGAUCCUCCUCUGAGUGCUCGUCGGCAAUUCUGUAA